GUGAUGCAUUUUGGGCAUGGCAUUGUCCCUUGGUAGACAGGCAGUGUUUGAUUUUGGUGCCUUUUUCAUUUUGCUGCUUUGACAUAGGACUCAAAUGUGACCUUGAAGAGUGCAGGAUAGUGGUGGCUGAAGGGUGGGGGGUGAGGAGGAGGCUACACCAAACAAACACUUCCAUUAUUUGUUUCAAAGGGUGAGAACUUUGAUAUAAAUAUUUAACAGGAUUGAAUGGAAGAGUACAAGAGUGAAAAACUAGACUAGCAUUAGUAAAAAAACAACAACCUGUGUCUUAGAACACUUUCGGGUGCCCUUUAGUGCCAAAGCCUCCUCAUUGCCUGCCGCAACCUCUGGCCAUGCUGUAGCCUUUUGGUUGGACCGAUGGCAGCAUCAGCAACUGAUGGUGUAGGAGGGAAAGGUCAUGAGCUCAUGGGAGACUUAUGUGAGACUCUCUGGUCUGGAAGAUACUGGCCUUGACUCUUCUGCAGGGAAACAGCUGCAAUCAUCCAGAUGCUGCUAGAGUGAGUGGCACAAGUGGCCCUCGUUCUGCAGGGAUGUGCUGGGAAGUCCUUUUUCUGCCAAGGGCAUUCAAUGUAUUUUGCCCUCCUCUUUUGAAGGCAGCCAAGAACAGCUUGCAGCAUCUCACAGAGGCCCUCUAAUGGCAUCCUGGAGGCACUCUCCUGUCGGGGGACCCUUGCAACCUGCAGGAGCUGUGCCACAAGUUCACCAAGCGCCUGGUAAGAACCCUUUCUCCUCUGGGCAUUCCUUCUCCAGUGGAGAGGCAAGAAGGUGGAGCACAGUUGGCACACCAAGAGCAGACUACCGGUACAUGGCAUUUGACUUUGUCUGUUAUCUUUGAUUAGGCACCAGAGCUCAGCAAGGGGGUUGGACGCUGUCAGGGAACUGCCAUCAGUGCCGGAGGGAGAGAGCAAAAUCCAGAGGGAUUCCGGAGAGUGUCCCGGGAUUGGGAGAGGCAGCCCAUCUUCUGGGGAAGAGAAUCAGCGUAACACCAGUGGAGAAGGGGGGCAGAUGGGGGAAGCGGCGAGGCGGUCCCAUGACUCCUUGCCGGGGACCAGCGGGGAGAGUAGAGGUCCUCCGCUACCUACGCCCUCCUUGCGCAGAAGGCUUCUGCGCAGGGAGAGUAGGAGGAGACUUGGCGUCAAACAGCUUCUUUGCUGGAAGAAGUUUAAGAAAUGCCCACUGACGGAUUCUGCCAGCGAUUGAGACAGCCACGGGUGAGUGGCUGUCCGGACAGAAAAGGUUCACUCAGGCAAUCCAGCCAGGUGUUUGCACCGGCUUACGCACGAGCAACCCCUAGAACCAUUACAGACGCCUUUGCUUAUGACGUCCUUUCCCACUUCCACAGCAGGCAGGCUUCAGUGAGGAGCGCUACUGCCAUGCUCAUCGCUAAUUGAAACAGUGGAUAGCCAACAGGCAAGAUCUCCCUUUAUAGUUUCAUUGUUUGUCCUGAAGAUGUAUAAUUGCAGGCAGAGGCGUACCUAUGGGUUGAUCAGGUUGUCCCCUGCCAAGGGUGCAGGCGGGCGGGGCGGGGGGAGCAAAAAUCGCACCUCUCAGUGCCACACUAGAGGAAUCCAGGCACUGGUGCGGGCCAUCACAGCAGCCCUGCGAAGCUCCCUUCCCAGACACUGCUGCUUGGCCCUGUGUCCUCCUAGCAUGGCCACUUCUCCUUGCCCUCCUGCAGGCAAUGCUCUUAAUUUACCACAGCCGAGUCACUUUUCCUUGGUUUCUUUCCCACCUUGACCAAUUUCCAGCACACGCAUAUUUACCCCAGAGGUUUACUCCAUAUUUACCCCAGAGAGCAAGGGCCAUUGACUUAAGCAAGGCUUACUUUUCCAAGUAAAGCACAACUUUUCUGCCAGCACCUUGUUGGAAGUAAUGAAAAGGCAAAUGAGGUAUUGUCAGAGGUUCCUGCCUCUGGCAUGGCAGAUUUAGGCUGCAGUCCUGUGUACCCACUUUCCUGGGAGCAAGCCCCAUUGAACUCAGUGGGAUUUACUUUUCAGUAGACAUAAGAUUGUGCUGUUAAACACUCAGUUUAAGUGUCAUUUGUAAUUGCUGAAUUACAUCAUGGUGUUUUUUCCCUGGAGAUUGGGGUGGGGGCACCAGGACAUCUCUUUGGCAAGGGCGGAAAGGAUGGGGAGAUAGGGAAAUGGUUUCACCUGGAGAGGGCUAAAGUAAAAUUCCUUAGGGAUCCCGUAAAGGGGAGGGAAAUAUCACUCUUGCCGUUAGACCAAACAGACCACUUGCAGGUGGCUUUUGAAAUCUGGCAGGCAUCUCAGUGAUCGGGACCCUGCAGUGAACUCAGCUGGGAGUGAAGUUUGGAACUGCGGUGGAAAGUGGGAGCAACAGCGACUACACUGACACUGUUCACUGAUUCAUUCAGGUGCACUGGGAUCGUAGCUGACAUUGGAAUAAUGGAGACGGAAUGUUUAAAGAAAAAGAAGAGGAAGAACAGUUGUCACGAAAAUCACAUCCAUGCCCCCUUUUCCUGAUAUAUGCCUUGUACCACAAAAUGACAUUAUUACAAUUACAGUGGUACCUUGGGUUAAGUACUUAAUUCGUUCUGGAGGUCUGUUCUUAACCUGAAACUGUUCUUAACCUGAAGCACCACUUUAGCUAAUGGGGCCUCCUGCUGCCGCCGCGCCGCCGGAGCACGAUUUCUGUUCUCAUCCUGAAGCAAAGUUCUUAACCCGAGGUACUAUUUCUGCGUUAGCGGAGUCUGUAACCUGAAGCGUAUGUAACCUGAAGUGUAUGUAACCCGAGGUACCACUGUAGUUGUUUUUUUUUUAUAUAUAUAAGAUAUUUAUUGAAGUUUUCAAGAUAUUACAAAACACAC